rnacentral:rRNA from 1 species
GAACGCUGGCGGAAUGCUUUACACAUGCAAGUCGAACGGCAGCACGGACUUCGGUCUGGUGGCGAGUGGCGAACGGGUGAGUAAUAUAUCGGAACGUGCCCAGUCGUGGGGGAUAACGUAGUGAAAAUUACGCUAAUACCGCAUACGAUCUAAGGAUGAAAGCGGGGGAUCGCAAGACCUCGCGCGACUGGAGCGGCCGAUAUCAGAUUAGGUAGUUGGUAGGGUAAAGGCCUACCAAGCCAACGAUCUGUAGCUGGUCUGAGAGGACGACCAGCCACACUGGAACUGAGACACGGUCCAGACUCCUACGGGAGGCAGCAGUGGGGAAUUUUGGACAAUGGGCGAAAGCCUGAUCCAGCCAUUCCGCGUGCAGGAUGAAGGCCCUCGGGUUGUAAACUGCUUUUGUACAGAACGAAAAGGUUUCUACUAAUACUAGGAGCUCAUGACGGUACUGUAAGAAUAAGCACCGGCUAACUACGUGCCAGCAGCCGCGGUAAUACGUAGGGUGCAAGCGUUAAUCGGAAUUACUGGGCGUAAAGCGUGCGCAGGCGGUUAUAUAAGUCAGAUGUGAAAUCCCCGGGCUCAACCUGGGAACUGCAUUUGAGACUGUAUAGCUAGAGUACGGUAGAGGGGGAUGGAAUUCCGCGUGUAGCAGUGAAAUGCGUAGAUAUGCGGAGGAACACCGAUGGCGAAGGCAAUCCCCUGGACCUGUACUGACGCUCAUGCACGAAAGCGUGGGGAGCAAACAGGAUUAGAUACCCUGGUAGUCCACGCCCUAAACGAUGUCAACUGGUUGUUGGGUCUUAACUGACUCAGUAACGAAGCUAACGCGUGAAGUUGACCGCCUGGGGAGUACGGCCGCAAGGUUGAACUUAAAGGAAUUGACGGGGACCCGCACAAGCGGUGGAUGAUGUGGUUUAAUUCGAUGCAACGCGAAAA